GGACGCGGCGGGCCGGCGGCCGGGCCGCGGCGCUCGCGAUCAUGCGGCGAGGCGCGGACAGCGGCACGGUUCGACUCCGUACGCGAGCA
rnacentral:tRNA from 3 species